CUGCGGGUCCCGGUCGGUUCCUGUCUCGUUCCUCAUCCACCUGUGGCUUUGGCCGGCUCGUGUCAGAAGCGGAUCUUGCAGAAAGAUUCCGUGCUUAAUUGCAACUGCACGUUCCGGCGUCCAGUUUCCUUCCAGUCUGCGCAGCGCGCAUUCUGUGAGUUUUUGGGGCUCGCUCCGAGCGUCUGUUAAUCGGGCGACUUGUGGAAUUGGGCGAGCCUCACUAAGAUUAAUUAAGACGCCUGGCAUCAUCUGGGGUUGCCGGAUUUGGUCCCGCUGCCGUUCUUGUCAACCUGAAGUUACCAAGCAGUGUCCUGGUUGGACUGACGCUGUCGCCCGUGUGAAGAGUCUGCAAGACCACCAAGCAUCAAAGCAUUUUUAUACUAAGUUUUAGCUAUUGUGCGCGUGUGAGAGAGGGUGUGCGUGCGAGUGAGUGGUUGUGAGACUAGUUGGUGUGUGUGUGUCUAGAGUGUGGUGUGGGGAUGCUCCUUUUGGGUUAAUUUGGGGUAACUUGGGUUUUGUCGCCCUUGUUACCUUGUGUAACUGAUAUAUUGUGCGUGGUCAGCAACCACAGUGGUCAAUCUUUGGUUUUGUCCCCUCCCAUUACUUUUGAGCUGUUUAUAUUGGUUUCAUAUGUUUGUGUACUUAUUUUGUUUUCCUCCUUAAACCCCUUUUUUGUUUCUUUGCUUUUCAGGUGCUGAGCGUUUCACGGCAGGGUGGCAGCCAACCCUUUCGGUGGUGGUGUCCUACUUCUGUGUGUGUGCAUUCCACGUAUGCUCAGUUUUUGGUUUAUUUAAUUUACUUCUUUGGUUUGCAGUGAGUGUGACACGUGUGCUUGCAUGCUAUUGUUCGGACUCUGGCUUCAUCCCUUGGUGGCUUGCCCCCCCCCUGCUGGUGGGCCUCAGCCCUGUCAAGCGCGAAAAUCACUUCAUCCCUGCCCCAAAAAUAUUGUCGAAGUGUGACUCCAUUUUUAUUGACCUCCGGGUAAAGUAUUUC